UAAUACGUAGGGUGCAAGCGUUAAUCGGAAUUACUGGGCGUAAAGCGUGCGCAGGCGGUUUUGUAAGUCUGAUGUGAAAGCCCCGGGCUCAACCUGGGAAUUGCAUUGGAGACUGCAAGGCUUGAAUCUGGCAGAGGGGGGUAGAAUUCCACGUGUAGCAGUGAAAUGCGUAGAGAUGUGGAGGAACACCGAUGGCGAAGGCAGCCCCCUGGGUCAAGAUUGACGCUCAUGCACGAAAGCGUGGGGAGCAAACAGGAUUAGAUACCCUGGUAGUCCACGCCCUAAACGAUGUCUACUAGUUGUCGGGUUUUAAUUAACUUGGUAACGCAGCUAACGCGUGAAGUAGACCGCCUGGGGAGUACGGUCGCAAGAUUAAAACUCAAAGGAAUUGACGG
rnacentral:rRNA from 1 species